GGGUGGUUAGCUCAGUUGGGAGAGCGUUGCCCUUACAAGGCAAAUGUCGGGGGUUCAAAUCCCUCACCACCCACCA
rnacentral:tRNA from 1 species